rnacentral:rRNA from 1 species
UACGUAGGGUGCAAGCGUUGUCCGGAAUUAUUGGGCGUAAAGAGCUCGUAGGCGGUCUGUCGCGUCGGAUGUGGAAAACCCAGGGCUCAACCCUGGGCCUGCAUUCGAUACGGGCAGACUAGAGUUCGGUAGGGGAGACUGGAAUUCCUGGUGUAGCGGUGAAAUGCGCAGAUAUCAGGAGGAACACCGGUGGCGAAGGCGGCUCUCUGGACCGAUACUGACGCUGAGGCGCGAAAGCGUGGGGAGCAAACAGG